UACGUAGGGCGCAAGCGUUAUCCGGAAUUAUUGGGCGUAAAGAGCUCGUAGGCGGGCAAGCAGGUCCGGGGUGAAAUCUUUCGGCCCAACCGGAAAAGGGCCUUGGAUACUGCUUGUCUGGAGGGAGGUAGGGGCAGACGGAACUUCCGGUGGAGCGGUGAAAUGCGUUGAUAUCGGAAGGAACGCCGGUGGCGAAAGCGGUCUGCUGGACCUCUACUGACGCUGAGGCGCGAAAGCCAGGGGAGCGAACGGG
rnacentral:rRNA from 1 species